rnacentral:rRNA from 1 species
CCCUUAGAUGUUCUGGGCCGCACGCGCGCUACACUGAUGCAUUCAACGAGUCUAAAACCUGCUCUGAUAGGGGUGGGUAAUCUUUUGAAUGUGCAUCGUGAUUGGGAUAGAUGAUUGCAAUUUUUCAUCUUCAACGAGGAGUGCCUAGUAAACGCAAGUCAUCAGCUUGCAUUGAUUACGUCCCUGCCCUUUGUACACACCGCCCGUCGCUCCUACCGAUUGAAUGAUCCGAUGAAUAUCAUGGAUUGAGGAUGCAAGUAGGUUAGCCAAUCUUCAUCUUCGAGAAGUGAAGUAAAUCUUAUCAUUUAGAGGAAGGAGAAGUCGUAACA